GACGAACGCUGGCGGCGCGCUUAACACAUGCAAGUCGAACGGAAAGGCCCUGAGUUUGUGGGGUGCACGAGUGGCGAACGGGUGAGUAACACGUGAGUAACCUGCCCUUGACUGUGGGAGACCUUCGUGAAACAGGGCCGAAUACCCGAUAGGAGCCCCCGCUCCAUGGUGGGGGUUGGAAAGAUUCGGCUGUUGGGGCUGGACUCGCCUCGUGUCAGCUUGUUGGUGGGGUGGGGUCUCACCAAGGCUUGGCCGGGUAGCCGGCCUGGGAGGGUGACCGGCCACGUUGGAACUGGACUGCGGCCCGGACCCGUCCGGUAGGCAGCAGUGCGGAAUGUUGCACAAUGCGCGGAAGCCUGCUGCAGCACCGCCGCGUGCGGGAUGACGGCCUUCUGUUUGUAAUCCGCUUUCGCCUGUGACGAGGCGAGAGUGACGGUACUUGGUAAAGAAGCACCGGCUAACUACGUG
rnacentral:rRNA from 1 species